rnacentral:rRNA from 1 species
AACGAACGCUGGCGGCAUGCCUAACACAUGCAAGUCGAACGAGACCUUCGGGUCUAGUGGCGCACGGGUGCGUAACGCGUGGGAACCUGCCCUUAGGUUCGGAAUAACUCCCCGAAAGGGGUGCUAAUACCGGAUAAUGUCUUCGGACCAAAGAUUUAUCGCCUUUGGAUGGGCCCGCGUUGGAUUAGCUAGUUGGUAGGGUAAAAGCCUACCAAGGCGACGAUCCAUAGCUGGUCUGAGAGGAUGAUCAGCCACACUGGGACUGAGACACGGCCCAGACUCCUACGGGAGGCAGCAGUGGGGAAUAUUGGACAAUGGGCGAAAGCCUGAUACAGCAAUGACGCGUGAGUGAUGAAGGCCUUAGGGUUGUAAAGCUCUUUUAACCGGGAUGAUAAUGACAGUACCGGGAGAAUAAGCUCCGGCUAACUCCGUG